rnacentral:lncRNA from 1 species
UUCAUUACACAAACCUUCUCUGUGUGACCCCAUUUCUCACAGCAGUUACAUCUAGAUGGUAACCACGGAUAGUAGAACUCUGCUGUGAAUUCCUUCCCCUCCAAAGUAAAAUCUAUCUCCUUAGGCAAGCUCUUUGAUACAUCAACAUUCACAAAGACCUUUGCCUCUUCAAAAUUUGAACACGCAAUGGUCUAUGGAUGAAGACGCACCGGAAAUCCCACAGCACUAGUCAUAAAACUUAAUGCCUCCCAUGAAAACAUAUGCAGUGGAACCUUUCUCAGAUGAACCCACAUCGGUAUAGCUUCU